CUAAUGUAGAAGGUAGAGACUGGUAACACUGUCACGUAUAAUUGAAAUUGGCCGAGAGAUGCUGUCAACAAAGAAAAAGGGGUACUGGUCUGCAAGGUAAAGAAACAAAGAGGGAAAGGCAUGCCUCCCUUUUUGCAAGGGGAUUGUCAUCUAAUUGAAGAGGCGAAACAUAUCCAAGAGACAAGAAGACAUUGCAUGACUAUGCAAGUACAAGAACUAAGAGAAAGUCCUGAGCACUUGGC
rnacentral:lncRNA from 1 species